AAUCUAAUACAUCUACUCUCCUAAUUGGGUCAUAGGAAGGCCGCCAUUUUAUGUGACCAAAUCAUCUAAGGCGACUAUCUCUAAAUCUUAUUUGCCAUUGGAGCUACUCCAACCUUUUCACGAUAUAUAAUUAUGUAUAGGGGAUGUACUAUUAGAUGUUUAAAUAAAUUUUUUUUUGGAAGAUUAUGAAGGAUAAGGGGUAGACCUAGGGUAGUUUGAUAUUUUUAAAAUAAUUUGCGAAGAAUAAGUUUAAAUCCUUAUGAAACACUUCCAAUGAAAAGUAAGGAUCAUCGAGUUAACCCCAACUAAAGAGGGAGUGGCUUGUCAUCCCAGGAGCAUGAAAGAGAGCCAAGAACGAUUAUGCAUAUGAUUGAGGUAUUAAAUCCUUAAGUGGUUAUUUGGAAUAUAAUUCCGCAGUUGACCAGUUAUGUGCCGUACAUAAGCCCGGAUGAUCCAUGUGAUAUCUCUUAAAUUUCAUAUGAAACCUAAACAAAUUUCGUUCCAAAAUAUUUCCAUUUGUUUAAGCUAUUUCCUAUUUUAUAUCAGAUGAUCCUGGAUUAGUUUAAUUUUGAAAUUUUUUUAUUCUUGUUUUGAUUGAACUAUUUUCCUGAGAAUUGGGACUACCAUGUGAUAGAAUUUUAACACCAAUAAUAUUUUAAUCAUGCCCAACAUAUAGCUUCAAUCUAUAGUUUGCAACGUUCAUUAAACUUUAUUGCAUACAGUUACAUCUUGAAGAAUCACGUAAAUUAUCGCGAGAACACUUCUAGAGGUAAGAAAGAUAUGGCUGAAGUUUUUAAAUGAAAUUGAACAAAGGGUGCAGACAAUUUAAGGACACUAGUGCAGACGAUUUAGGACGAUUUAGACUUUGGAACACUAGAUAGGUUUUACCCAUAAAAAAUUCAAUACUUUAAUGCAAGGUUUGAAACAAUUAUUUGUGAACUUGAGGACAAGGACAUAGCGAAACAACGUUAUUUUUUAUCUCACCCUUAUCCAUGAUUGGAGCCUGUGCUAUAGUCUUCUUCAGGGGUAUCAUGUUUAACUUGCAAUUUCUGAACUAAGGAACUUGGGCUUUCCACUAAGAGGUCACAUCAAAGUGACGAGAGAUGCAAGCAUUUAUUCCAACUGCCAUUGUGGGCAUUCCGCCUGUUUUUCCCUUUUUUUUGCUCCUGCAGGUGACUACUGGCUGGACGGAUUGAUCUCUUUUGCUGCUUGUGAAGAUUUUGGGAGUCUCUCAUAUGGAUCCAUUUUUCAAGCUUCGGUUCCAUUUUGUGUUGGCUGCUUCCAGGCUUUUUCUGUUUUAGUUUUCUGCUUCCUGUUUCUGUGUAAUUAGUUACAGGAUUUUCUUCUAUCUUUGUUUUGUGCUCUUUUUGGGCAGCUCUGGUUUUUAUUGGAGCAUUUGUGCUGGUUUUUGUAACCUUCUUUCUUUUAAUAUACGGGCCAAGCCCUUAUUUC